UACGUAGGGUGCAAGCGUUAAUCGGAAUUACUGGGCGUAAAGCGUGCGCAGGCGGUGAUGUACGACAGUUUUGAAAUCCCCGGGCUCAACCUGGGAACUGCAUCUGUGACUGCAUCGCUGGAGUACGGUAGAGGGGGAUGGAAUUCCGCGUGUAGCAGUGAAAUGCGUAGAUAUGCGGAGGAACACCGAUGGCGAAGGCAAUCCCCUGGACCUGUACUGACGCUCAUGCACGAAAGCGUGGGGAGCAAACAGG
rnacentral:rRNA from 1 species